CACCAACUAAAUGAGAUGAAUGUUCUAAAUACCACUGAACUUGUAACAUUAACAUGAAAAAUACAAAUAUCUUCAUUAUCAAACGUGACCAUGCAUAUACACAGCUGUGCAUUUCCAGAUUUCCUGAGCGAGAAUAAGUACCUGGAAUUAAAGCAAAGAGGAAAACACCUAUGAGUAAGGUACGGGAGAAGCAACGAACAGCAACAGAUCAACCAAUUAAGACCCAGGAGUAGUAUUAGGAAACUCAGGAAGGUUUUAAAAGACCAAUAACACCACAAAUUCCAAUCCCAAAGCUCAAACAAAGCAAACCAGCCUGGGAUCAAUACCCAAAGUGGAUUCUGAGAAUUCUAACACCCUAAAUGCAUAUGCUUCAAGUCAUCUUCACCUUACAAUGGAUAUAAGCUUGGGAUUUUCAGGGAAUUUUUCAGAUGGUGUUCUCGACUUGUUCCUCUCUUUUUUUUGAAAGCAAUAAGAUGCUUUUUAUAACCAAAGCCUUAGAGUUAGGGCAACAUUUUUCUUCUGUUAGUCCCUUCUCCAUUUUCCAGAAUCGCUUAAUUGGUCCCUUGUUUUUUAACUUGUGCCUCAAGUUUUAAGAGAAAAGUUACCAGAAAUUGUGUUUUGAAUCUCCAACUAGAAGGUUACAAGGAUUUGAUACAAUAUUCUUAUGCCCAAAUACCCAUGCUACCCCUGUUUUUCCUUCUUAAUUACUUAGCCUAAAUGUCUCUACCCUGGUGCCUAUCCAUUUGGUCAGAAAUUGACCAUAGUCAAUUACUCAAGACCAUAAACCAUGGUCUCAUCAUCAGUUAGGGGUUGAGUUUUAAGAAAACUGGGCAUGACUGAACAAUUAAAUUGAAGACUACACUAUACUAUCAAAAGGCAAACCACAAAAAAAAUGGUCAAAAUUGAUAAGUAACAGGUCAAUGAAACACAUAUAUACAUGUGGAUUUAGACAGGUACCAAAAUAUGGGACCGAAUUACUCAGAGGCAAAAAUAAACCUAACCAGCACAAACUUCAGAAACAAACACAAGGUUUAUUACCAAUGAACAUUGAUCAAAUUGAAACAAAAAGGGAAAGUUAAACCAGGGAAGAGAUGAACAAUUUGAACUAAUAGAAUAAUUCGAUAUAAUCAAAGAACAUCUAUAAAUCCAAUCGAUAAAGAGAUCACUAAGAGCAGAUUAUUAAAGACUUAAAACAAAAGGCACAUGAUUCUGGAUGAAAACAAAGCAACUAAUCAGAAGAUUAUCGUAGAUAAGCAAGUAUAAACAAUCAUGUACUCAUAUAAAACAAAACAAAACAAAGCAAAUUAAAGGAAAACAUGGAACUUAGCUUAACAUUGCAACCCUAAAAACCUUGAACCUUUCGCGUCUCAUGGUUUUCAACCAUUUCUGGUUCCAAAUCUGGGAAGGUCUUUG
rnacentral:lncRNA from 1 species